AUUAUGUAACAGACAUAUGCCCAAAAUAGGAGUUGAGCUAGAAUACUCCAGGGGUUGAUGCUUUUGAGUUUUUAGUCGGGCUUUUUUAUAAAAUGAUCCUCCAGAAAUUCAAAAUUGGCAAAAUAAUCCUACUAAAAUUUUAUUUGUAAAACUAAUCCUCUUUUCGCCACGUGGGCGCCACAUCAGGAUUUCUCACAAAGACGGUGAAUCGUUCACCGCCUUCAGUGCAAAACCCCUCUUUCCUAUCCGCCUUAUGAAGACGGUGAACGAUUCGCCGUCUUAUCAAGGACACCAUACCCUAGACUUGAAAAAAUUUGCGCAUCAGAAUAGGGAUUUGCACCAAAGGCCGUGAAUCAUUCACCGCCUUCACAACAAAUAUUAUAAAGACGGUGAACAAUUCACCGUCUUUUUCAGGAAUUCCUGACGUAGCGCCCACGUGGCGAAAGAAGGGUUAGUUUUACAAAUAAAAUUUUAGUAAGGUCAUUUUGCCAAAUUCGAAUUUCUGGAAGGUCAUUUUAUAAAAAAGUCCCUUUUAGUCAUUGAAUAGAGAGAUAUAGGGUUGUGAUGAUGGUGGUAGGUAGUGGCAGAUGAUGUUAGGUGGAAUAGUAUUUGAUUCAAGUGCUAUUAGUAAUCAAUGAGUAGAUUCAAGGGUUAGAAACUUAAAAACACCAAGUGGUUGGUGCUUCUAAAAGUAUUCUAGCUCAAUUACCCAAAAUGGCUACAUAAUUUGUUACUGCAAUCAAAGAGCUUAGAAUUGAUUUUCAAAAUUGAAAUUAAAAAUUGCAUUAAUUGAUUUAAAGUAUGAAGCAAUGGAAAGUUGCACCAAUAUUUUUUCUCCUCUAUUAGAAGUGACAAUAAAGAUAAUUUGAAAUAAUUUAUAAAGUUAUUUUGAAUGUCUAAUAUCGAAUUCAACUCGCCAGAGAGGUUUCACUGUUUGGUUAGGGGAUAGGGAUAGGAAUAGGCCCUUAUCCCCCCUUUAUACCCAAACGCUAAUUUUUUAUCCGAGAACAGUAGUUCUCGGUUACCUAUAAUAACCGGUUAUAACUAUCCCCACUUACACCUACAUUUUCUAUAUAAAACUACCUAAUAUUUUUCUUAUUCUAUAUUAUCUAUUCAAACGCUAUUUUUCUUAUCCCCGAAAACAACCUAAUUUUCAUCCAAACACUAUUUUUCUUAUCCCUAUACUUGUAUCUAUACCUGUAAUAACUAGUUCUUGCCUAUACCCAAACCAAACGGUACCUAUUAAUAGAGAAUCGUAGUGCAAUCCCUCCUCUCCUCAAAAUACAUGUAUCCUCAUGUGUAUCUUUCUGAUUGGUUAAAUUUCUAUUAAUAUAAACAUAAAUAAUAACAAGAAAAUCAUAAGGUUAAACGAGUCCGUAGUUGCUAUACCAUCUGUAGCACGGAAGCCUCCAUACUACCAAGUUAUUUUCAAUGAUACGACUUCUAAAUCGACGAUCGGCUCCGUUAAACUUGAUCUAUAUUAUUGAAAGUAUUUGAAACUAAAUUUUAUAACUUUUCGACAUCAUUUACCUACCAAGCAAGUAAUCUAAAAAUGAACGACUAAAAAUAAAAAAAUUCAUAAAAAAUGAUAAUAAAAGACUUGAAUUUAAGACCAAAGGUAUUGACCUUAUUCUAAAUAGUGAAAAGAGUUUUUUUCUACAACUUUCAUUAGAUUUUGAUUGUUUUACACCGUUAAAUUCACAAAUGCAUCACAUUAAUCGUUAAAAUUAUCAAUUUUAAGACAUUUUGAUCACUAGCCAAAUAAUGUCGAAAAAUUAUAAAAUUUAGUUUUCAAAUACUUUCAAUAGUGUAGAUUAAGUUUAACAGAGGUAAUCGUCAAUUUGGAAGCAGUAUCACUGAAAGCAACUUAGUAGCACGAAGGCCUUCAUCAGUAUAGCAGCAUACCACAUGUUAAACUUCAAAAUUACCCCCUUCUAGUUUAGCUCAAUUUCACCUUGUCAUUUAUAGUUUAAAAAAUUUUACUUUAUCCUUCUAUGGUUUAGCUCGUUUUCACUUUGCCAUCCGUUAGCUUAAAAAAUUGCACUUUAUUCUCCCAAAAUUUUUCACUUUAUCACCAUGUAACUUUUUUUAAAAAAAAAUUAAUUUGCCAUUCCAUUUCAUAUAAAACUUUUUGAUG
rnacentral:lncRNA from 1 species